AGAGUUUGAUCCUGGCUCAGGAUGAACGCUGGCGGCGUGCCUAAUACAUGCAAGUCGAACGCUGGAGAUCUAGCUUGCUAGAUCGAAGGAGUGGCGAACGGGUGAGUAAUACAUAAGCAACCUACCCACGAAGACUGGGAUAAUCUCUGGAAACGGGGACUAAUACCGGAUAGGUAAUCGGAAGGCAUCUUCUGAUUAUUAAAGGUUAAAAACACUGGUGGAUGGGCUUAUGGCGCAUUAGUUAGUUGGUGAGGUAACGGCCCACCAAGACGAUGAUGCGUAGCCGGCCUGAGAGGGUGAACGGCCACAUUGGGACUGAGACACGGCCCAGACUCCUACGGGAGGCAGCAGUAGGGAAUUUUCGGCAAUGGGGGAAACCCUGACCGAGCAACGCCGCGUGAGUGAUGACGGCCUUCGGGUUGUAAAGCUCUGUUGUAAGGGAAGAACGGUAGAUAGAGAAUAUCUAAGUGACGGUACCUUACCAGAAAGCCACGGCUAACUACGUGCCAGCAGCCGCGGUAAUACGUAGGUGGCGAGCGUUAUCCGGAAUUAUUGGGCGUAAAGGGUGCGUAGGCGGCCUGUUAAGUAAGUGGUUAAAUUGUUGGGCUCAACCCAAUCCAGCCACUUAAACUGGCAGGCUAGAGUAUUGGAGAGGCAAGUGGAAUUCCAUGUGUAGCGGUAAAAUGCGUAGAUAUAUGGAGGAACACCAGUGGCGAAGGCGGCUUGCUAGCCAAAGACUGGCGCUCAUGCACGAAAGCGUGGGGAGCAAAUAGGAUUAGAUACCCUAGUAGUCCACGCCGUAAACGAUGAAUACUAAGUAUUGGGGAACUCAGUGCUGCAGCUAACGCAAUAAGUAUUCCGCCUGUGAGUAUGCACGCAAGUGUGAAACAUAAAGGAAUUGACGGGGGCCCGCACAGCGGUGGAGUAUGUGGUUUAAUUCGACGCAACGGCGAAGAACCUUACCAGGCCUUGACAUCCCUUGCAAGCUG
rnacentral:rRNA from 1 species